GACGAACGCUGGCGGCGUGCCUAAUACAUGCAAGUUGAGCGCUGAAGGUUGGUACUUGUUCCAACUGGAUGAGCAGCGAACGGGUGAGUAACGCGUGGGGAAUCUGCCUUUGAGCGGGGGACAACAUUUGGAAACGAAUGCUAAUACCGCAUAAAAACUUUAAACACAAGUUUUAAGUUUGAAAGAUGCAAUUGCAUCACUCAAAGAUGAUCCCGCGUUGUAUUAGCUAGUUGGUGAGGUAAAGGCUCACCAAGGCGAUGAUACAUAGCCGACCUGAGAGGGUGAUCGGCCACAUUGGGACUGAGACACGGCCCAAACUCCUACGGGAGGCAGCAGUAGGGAAUCUUCGGCAAUGGACGAAAGUCUGACCGAGCAACGCCGCGUGAGUGAAGAAGGGUUUCGGAUCGUAAAACUCGGUUGGUAGAGAAGAACGUUGGUGAGAGUGGAAAGCUCAUCAAGUGACGGUAACUACCCAGAAAGGGACGGCUAACUACGUG
rnacentral:rRNA from 1 species